UUCUAGGGAAACUCCGUUUGAUCUGUGAGACACAUUGACCAAUUAUCUUUUCCUCUUUCCUUACAGACUUUCCAUAGUGGACAAAUAAUGAAUGCUGAAAACCAGUGAAAUCAUCAAGGCUGAGGCUCAUCCCUCAGAAGGAUACUGGGAGGAACAUGAAUGUCGGAGAACAGCAUGACAAGCCAUAACAAUCACAAUGAUUAUUGUUGAAUAUGAGGAAGGGAAAGGAAAGGCACAGUCUGAGGAGACUACUUCAGUGGCACACCUUGAAGACAAAUAAGACUUAUCACACUCUUCCAGCUGUCUGGCAUGUGUUUGCAUUCAUAGCAACCUGCUGCAGUAUGAAGACAAGAUUCUCUCUGCUGCUGAAAGAAGAUAUGGAGCUGGUUGUUCUGAGUGUGUAGCUGCCUUGGGCCAUCCAUGCAACUCCUUGUGCAGGCAAGGAAGACUUAGGAUGAGGCUAGCAGAGCCUACUGGAAAUGUCAUUUUGAGAGACUUAAAUAAAAUUACAGCAUAUACGUAUGUGCA
rnacentral:lncRNA from 1 species